rnacentral:rRNA from 1 species
AGAUGAAUCAAAGAAGGUAAUAAUCCUGUAGUCGAAAAUGUUGUCUCUCUUGAGUGGAUCCUGAGUACGACGGAGCACGUGAAAUUCCGUCGGAAUCUGGGAGGACCAUCUCCUAAGGCUAAAUACUCUCUAGUGACCGAUAGUGAACCAGUACCGUGAGGGAAAGGUGAAAAGCACCCCGGAAGGGGAGUGAAAUAGAACCUGAAACCGUGUGCUUACAAGUAGUCAGAGCCCGUUAAUGGGUGAUGGCGUGCCUUUUGUAGAAUGAACCGGCGAGUUACGAUUUGAUGCAAGGUUAAGCAGUAAAUGUGGAGCCGUAGCGAAAGCGAGUCUGAAUAGGGCGUUUAGUAUUUGGUCGUAGACCCGAAACCAGGUGAUCUACCCUUGGUCAGGUUGAAGUUCAGGUAACACUGAAUGGAGGACCGAACCGACUUACGUUGAAAAGUGAGCGGAUGAACUGAGGGUAGCGGAGAAAUUCCAAUCGAACCUGGAGAUAGCUGGUUCUCUCCGAAAUAGCUUUAGGGCUAGCCUCAAGUGAUGAUUAUUGGAGGUAGAGCACUGUUUGGACGAGGGGCCCCUCUCGGGUUACCGAAUUCAGACAAACUCCGAAUGCCAAUUAAUUUAACUUGGGAGUCAGAACAUGGGUGAUAAGGUCCGUGUUCGAAAGGGAAACAGCCCAGACCACCAGCUAAGGUCCCAAAAUAUAUGUUAAGUGGAAAAGGAUGUGGCGUUGCCCAGACAACUAGGAUGUUGGCUUAGAAGCAGCCAUCAUUUAAAGAGUGCGUAAUAGCUCACUAGUCGAGUGACACUGCGCCGAAAAUGUACCGGGGCUAAACAUAUUACCGAAGCUGUGGAUUGUCCUUUGGACAAUGGUAGGAGAGCGUUCUAAGGGCGUUGAAGCAUGAUCGCAAGGACAUGUGGAGCGCUUAGAAGUGAGAAUGCCGGUGUGAGUAGCGAAAGACGGGUGAGAAUCCCGUCCACCGAUUGACUAAGGUUUCCAGAGGAAGGCUCGUCCGCUCUGGGUUAGUCGGGUCCUAAGCUGAGGCCGACAGGCGUAGGCGAUGGAUAACAGGUUGAUAUUCCUGUACCACCUAUAAUCGUUUUAAUCGAUGGGGGGACGCAGUAGGAUAGGCGAAGCGUGCGAUUGGAUUGCACGUCUAAGCAGUAAGGCUGAGUAUUAGGCAAAUCCGGUACUCAUUAAGGCUGAGCUGUGAUGGGGAGAAGACAUUGUGUCUUCGAGUCGUUGAUUUCACACUGCCGAGAAAAGCCUCUAGAUAGAAAAUAGGUGCCCGUACCGCAAACCGACACAGGUAGUCAAGAUGAGAAUUCUAAGGUGAGCGAGCGAACUCUCGUUAAGGAACUCGGCAAAAUGACCCCGUAACUUCGGGAGAAGGGGUGCUCUUUAGGGUUAACGCCCAGAAGAGCCGCAGUGAAUAGGCCCAAGCGACUGUUUAUCAAAAACACAGGUCUCUGCUAAACCGUAAGGUGAUGUAUAGGGGCUGACGCCUGCCCGGUGCUGGAAGGUUAAGAGGAGUGGUUAGCUUCUGCGAAGCUACGAAUCGAAGCCCCAGUAAACGGCGGCCGUAACUAUAACGGUCCUAAGGUAGCGAAAUUCCUUGUCGGGUAAGUUCCGACCCGCACGAAAGGCGUAACGAUUUGGGCACUGUCUCAACGAGAGACUCGGUGAAAUCAUAGUACCUGUGAAGAUGCAGGUUACCCGCGACAGGACGGAAAGACCCCGUGGAGCUUUACUGUAGCCUGAUAUUGAAAUUCGGCACAGCUUGUACAGGAUAGGUAGGAGCCUUUGAAACGUGAGCGCUAGCUUACGUGGAGGCGCUGGUGGGAUACUACCCUAGCUGUGUUGGCUUUCUAACCCGCACCACUUAUCGUGGUGGGAGACAGUGUCAGGCGGGCAGUUUGACUGGGGCGGUCGCCUCCUAAAAGGUAACGGAGGCGCUCAAAGGUUCCCUCAGAAUGGUUGGAAAUCAUUCAUAGAGUGUAAAGGCAUAAGGGAGCUUGACUGCGAGACCUACAAGUCGAGCAGGGUCGAAAGACGGACUUAGUGAUCCGGUGGUUCCGCAUGGAAGGGCCAUCGCUCAACGGAUAAAAGCUACCCCGGGGAUAACAGGCUUAUCUCCCCCAAGAGUUCACAUCGACGGGGAGGUUUGGCACCUCGAUGUCGGCUCAUCGCAUCCUGGGGCUGUAGUCGGUCCCAAGGGUUGGGCUGUUCGCCCAUUAAAGCGGUACGCGAGCUGGGUUCAGAACGUCGUGAGACAGUUCGGUCCCUAUCCGUCGUGGGCGUAGGAAAUUUGAGAGGAGCUGUCCUUAGUACGAGAGGACCGGGAUGGACAUACCUCUGGUGUACCAGUUGUCGUGCCAACGGCAUAGCUGGGUAGCUAUGUGUGGACGGGAUAAGUGCUGAAAGCAUCUAAGCAUGAAGCCCCCCUCAAGAUGAGAUUUCCCAACUUCGGUUAUAAGAUCCCUCAAAGAUGAUGAGGUUAAUAGGUUCGAGGUGGAAGCAUGGUGACAUGUGGAGCUGACGAAUACUAAUCGAUCGAAGACUUAAUCAA